UGGGGAAUCUUCCGCAAUGGACGAAAGUCUGACGGAGCAACGCCGCGUGUAUGAUGAAGGUCUUCGGAUUGUAAAGUACUGUCAUUGGGGAAGAACGGUUUUCUUGAAAAGAUUGAGAAGACAUGACGGUACCCAAGGAGGAAGCCCCGGCUAACUACGUGCCAGCAGCCGCGGUAAUACGUAGGGGGCAAGCGUUGUCCGGAAUUAUUGGGCGUAAAGGGCGCGUAGGCGGGCCUUUAAGUCCGGUGUGAAAGAUCAGGGCUCAACCCUGAGAGUGCAUCGGAAACUGGAGGCCUUGAGGACAGGAGAGGAAAGUGGAAUUCCACGUGUAGCGGUGAAAUGCGUAGAUAUGUGGAGGAACACCAGUGGCGAAGGCGACUUUCUGGACUGUAACUGACGCUGAGGCGCGAAAGCGUGGGGAGCAAACAGGAUUAGAUACCCUGGUAGUCCACGCCGUAAACGAUGAGUGCUAGGUGUAGAGGGUAUCGACCCCUUCUGUGCCGCAGUUAACACAAUAAGCACUCCCGCCUGGGGAGUACGGCCGCAAGGUUG
rnacentral:rRNA from 1 species